rnacentral:rRNA from 1 species
UACGUAGGUGGCAAGCGUUGUCCGGAAUUAUUGGGCGUAAAGCGCGCGCAGGCGGUCUGUUAAGACCGAUGUGAAAGCCCCGGGCUUAACCUGGGAAUGGCAUUGGAAACUGGCUCGCUGGAGUGUGGCAGAGGGGGGUGGAAUUCCGCGUGUAGCAGUGAAAUGCGUAGAGAUGCGGAGGAACACCGAUGGCGAAGGCAGCCCCCUGGGCUAACACUGACGCUCAGGCACGAAAGCGUGGGGAGCAAACAGG